rnacentral:lncRNA from 1 species
UAGAUGCUAUUAAUAUUCUUUUUUUUACAGAUAAGGAAACUGAAAUUCAGAGAAGUUAACUUACUUGCCCAGGGUCACAUAGUUAGUAACGCUGCUGUUAAUUACUGUGCUAUGCUGGCUCUGGAAAUGUUUGAGGAAUCAUAAUCUCUAGUUAAUGAAAUUGAGUCUGAUAGUUGUUACUAUUUAAUAUGAUCAACAACUUCUGGCCAUACAUCCAACAAGUAAAUCAGGAACUUAAAUUCCUACAAAGAAGUAAUAUUCACUAGCAGUAUGACUGAAUUUUGGAAGAUAGUGUGCAGUGCCAGCUUUUAUCCUAGAAAGACUACCUCCAAAGGAACUUCACAGAGUGGCAUUUUUGGUGAAUUACCAUUGAUCAGAGUCCAUUUUUCAACCUCAAAGAUGUAGAAAAAAGAUCCGUAGAUCAAGCAGACCCUUAGAAACAGAGUAGGAAUAAUAAAAUUGGCCCAAAACUGAGGUGUAAACUAAAAUGCUUGUUUGCUUACCAAAGGGACUAUGUCUUUGUAGUGAUUGAAGUGCUGGGUCCCUCCUUUCUGAGAAUUGAGGAGUCCAGAAAAACAGAUUAAUAGUUAAAUGAUUAUUUGUGAACAUAAAAAUAGAGCCAGGGAAAGUGUAUCAUUUUGAGGAUUGCCUUAGCCAUGGUCCUAAUGAGACCUCAUGAAUGAACUGUCUUUCUCCAGAGAAAUCACUCAGAAUGCUUUUUUGCCUCCGUCUUUUGGUUAUACUUCCUGAAGUAUACUAACUAUAGUAAGGAGAGAGGUGUAAUGCCUCUCCUUUACAAACGAGGAGAAGAGUGUUUGAGCAGAGGGAAUGUGGAAAAGGAGAAUGGUAAUGAAAUAUUUGCCACAGGAACCCUUUCAGGUAGAUCAGUUUAGUAAAGAAUACAUUUAUCUAGAAGAUGAAGAGCUGGAAAUUGAGUCACUUAAAAUGAUCUAUACCUGCAUAUCUCUUUAAAGGAGUUUAUGUACCCUAGAGCCCACAAAUUCCUUAGUUUGAGGAAUUAUGGCAUUUGUUUUUAUCUUUGUAGAUAUUGGCUUACUUUCUUUGGAUUUUCAUUCAUGCAAUAAAUACUUAUUCAUUGUCUAUUUACUAGAAUACUGUGUUUUAUAUCUGAUUUCCAGUUGCUUAGUAAAUACAUGAAUUGAAUUGAAUAUUUGUUGAAUGUGCCUAUUAAAUAGAUUUCCAAGCUAGUUCCUUCCAUAAUUUUUGUAGUUAAAUGGACUUUAUAUGUCUUGCCAUGAGACCUAUUUGAAAUAUUAUUUUGAUAAGAAAAUGCUAUCUGAGUAGAAAAUGGUACAGAUAACAUAUUUAGGAAUGGGCAAGGAUCUUCCUGUGAUUGGGUGAAAAAGCCGUACUUAAACACUCUCCCUCUUUCCCAUAGAGUGUGCUCUGAUAUUUCAAAAGAAUGUCAAAACCAGUGAUUAUUCCUUCAGGAAUAUAAAUGUAUUUGCUGUCAAUUUCAGAAAAGUUGUAGUAACCUGAAGAAGAGACUUUCUGUUUUGUGCUAGAGAUAACAUGGGACAUCCUUUAGGGUAGCAUCAUAAACAUAACUCACAGUCAUCUAUAGAUAAUGAAUAUGAUAAUUUUGAGAUUCACAAAGAGAGGGAACAAGAUACCUGAGUAAAAAAUCAAGAAAGGAAAAUAAAGAUAUGGAGAGACACAUUUAUUUAUUUAAGGCUCUACUGUGUUUCAUAAUGGUUGGAUUCAUUUGCAUGUUAUUUUGUUUCAAAUAAGCAUGGAUAUAGUGGGCAAGAUUGACUAUGGAAGGCUGUAUUGAGCUCUUAGAAAAUGGUAGAGGGAGAAAGUUUGAUUUAUACAUUGUACAUAAUUUUAGGGGGCAAGAAAGGAAAUAUGGAAUGAUAUUGCUGUAGAUGUUUCUUCAUUUUGGCCACUAGAUGGUGACAUUGUAUAAAAACAGCUUGGUUGUAGAAGGUAAGAUACUCAAAAUUUGGUGUGGGAUUGGAUAGCUGUAUUUAACAAGUAAGCCCAAGAGUGUCACUUAAUUUUUUUAUAUUCGUCAUUCAGCCUUGUAGCAUUUUUGGCGAAUUUAUUGAACUUCUCUUUUUGGUAUUUAAUUUAUAUGUGUAUACUAUCCUGAAGUAUUUUGUUAAUAUCUCUGUGCCUAGCAUAUUUGGUGAUGAUAAACUAUAUACGAUAAACAAAUACUUAAACAAAUGCUACCUGCCCUCCAAAAAAUUCACAUAGCAAAAAAAACUAGUUGAUAUAUUUGAUGUGUCUAAGAAACAUAUUUAAGAUACAUUAAACAAAAUAGAAAUUUA